AUUAAGUGGAGUUGGUGUGUGGUCCAAAUUAUUGGUCUACGGGUCUCUUUUCCAAUCUUAAAAUGAUAAACAUUAGACAUUGGCCAUGCUGUCAAUCCAGAAUGAUUUCUGCUGCGCUUAAAACAACUCAGAAGAGAGAAAUCUGACAGUGAAUUCAAGAAAACUGGUAACUCAGGAAAAAAAAAAUUGCUCAGACUGUGAAAAUACAUUUUGAACGGUCAUCCCAACUCGGAAGUGUAAAUCGGGAACUUGGGCCUCUUUCUAGAGCUACGACCUGAAAAUCACUGACGUCAUCAUGAUUCAACUUUGUCCUCGCCUCGCCAUAGUUCCCAGUUGUCCCAGCACCAUCAAUCCAGAGAAUGUCAGACUUGGAUGAGUAAGUUUGCCCACAAAAGGACCGCCGCACCUCCUUCCUGUUCAAGUGAGCAAAGCACAAGGUGUCUACAGCCUUUAGACGAAGUUUCACGCCUUUAUGUUGAAGAGUGAGCGUAAAGGACCACAUUGCAUAAGUGGCCAGCUGAGGGCUCUGAGUGAUUCUUGCACAAAAGACAGAGAAAACUUGGGGGCCAAUUUGGCCCGCCUGCGGGGCCGCCAGUUGGAGAGCCCUGAUCUACACAAUUCUUCUGGUCGAUGGCUAGAAAGAAUGUGGCCUCUGAAAUGGUCGGGCACCCAUUGAAAUCAAAUCGUCUAGGAUGGCACGUGCUGUUGUUUGACAGAUGAACCUUGAAACAUGGAAUCAGUCUAGAGAUUUGGAACGUUGUAACCUGACCAUAAGAGCUUGAUAAAUAAAACACUACAGAAAUGCAAAGGUUGCAAAUAACACUCAAAAUAUACUGAACAAAAAUAUAAAACACAGCAUGUAAAAAGUGUUGAUCCCAUGUUUUAUGAGCUGAAAUAAAAGAUUCCAGACCUUUCC